UUGGAUGUUUUAUGAAACCAUAAAAGAACCUCUCUCUUUAUUAGUCCUCACCACCACCACUUCCCCCGCACUCCUUGAGAGCACCAUCUUCCCCCGCGCCUCCCCUGGCGGCCGAACCCAUCCCCUCCGCUGCCUUCACCAAUGCCACCUCCUCUUCUCCUUCGAUCUCCUGUGGAUCAAAGCUAUGGUUUUCAAAAAUUGAGGAUAUUCAAGCGAUCCUUGUCUUCUUAGUGUUGGCUGUGGUUAAGCAGGUCUUUUGGUGGAGUUGAUUAUAAACUUAGAGCAACUGUGGUGUGAAAUUAUUGAAGGGGUGAAGAAAGGACUAGAUUAGGAGGUGGAAGGAAUGGAGACCGCACUUCUCUUGUUCAUUCAAACAUUGAAGGAUUAAGCAAUGCUGAUAGUGCACCAUUUUCAAAUGGUAAUAUUCCAAGUGUUGAGGAAACAGUGAAUGGUACUGCAUCUUAACAACCCAAUCAAAAUGUUGUAGCUGUUAGUGAUACUCAAGCAAACUAUGGUAGCGCAUAAGAUGCUUCAACCAUUGUUGGGAGGUUACGUAUCACAGUUGUGGAUGGGUUGUUAGGGCCAUCUAGCAAUUGUGCAUAGAUAAUCACAAAAAAGUUUAAGGAAAAAGUUGACUUUGAAGGAUACACAUGGAAGACAGUAUCACAACCUAUAAGAAACUUUUUAUUUUAAAGAAUUUUGGAAGCACUUUAUUUGGAAUUCCUCAUUAGAGGCACAAGUAAAAGAAGCUUGGGUUUGAAAGUCUCACAGUGAUAUAGUGAUUUUUUGAGGAAUAUAAGAGAUGCAACAACAAAACCGGAGUAUCUAAGUGAGGAGAAGUACAAGCAUUGGAAAGUUGUCUGGGAUAGACCUACAUUUAAGAAUAAACAAGAGAUAAAUUCUAAAAAUUGAUGUAGUAUUGUUUGGCCAUCAUGCCAUAUAGGAGGAUCAAUAUCUAAUGUUGAGCAUGGGAAGAAUCUUGAAUCUAAAUUUGGCCGAAAAGCCACUACACAUGAGUUUUUUUUGCAUACUUAUACUUAAAAAUACAUGGUGGGGAAACUUUUGUAGAUCUCAAGUCAAAAACAAUUAAUGAUAAAACGUUGACCUUGAAACAACAUGCAAUUUCUACAGAAUCUAAAUCAAUAAACUCAUAACCUACUCUAGUAGAUGAAUUGACCCUUUAUAUUGAAGCUGUUGGUGGAGAGAAGAAAAGAAGAAUCUAUCGUCUUGGUUCUCAAGUAUCUUCCUAUUAUGGAUGCUCUAAUUCAAAUGUCAAUAACUCAACUACAACAUCUAAUAUGCAAAAUAAUGAAGAUUUACAAAAUGAGUAAGCAUCUGUCCGUAAUAAACUUCAAAUCCAAGAAGAGCGGCAUCAAAAGAGCGUCAAGAAACUCAACAAGAGCUUCAAGAAACUGGACAAGAGGUGGCUGAAAUGAGGAGGAUGCUACAAUUACUUAUAUCUCAAAAUAAAGCACCUUCUCAACUAAAUCAAUCAGGUCAUGAUGAAGAUGUUGAUCCUACUCCACCAACUUAGUAGUUAUUGUUCUUAUCUCGUGACUUAUUUCUCAUAUUUGUUGCUUGCUUGUGAUACUUUUGAGUUUAAGUACUUGCCACUUAUGUUGGCUAUGUA